rnacentral:rRNA from 1 species
GACGAACGCUGGCGGCGUGCUUAACACAUGCAAGUCGAACGGAAAGGCCCUGCUUUUGUGGGGUGCUCGAGUGGCGAACGGGUGAGUAACACGUGAGUAACCUGCCCUUGACUUUGGGAUAACUUCAGGAAACUGGGGCUAAUACCGGAUAGGAGCUCCUGCUGCAUGGUGGGGGUUGGAAAGUUUCGGCGGUUGGGGAUGGACUCGCGGCUUAUCAGCUUGUUGGUGGGGUAGUGGCUUACCAAGGCUUUGACGGGUAGCCGGCCUGAGAGGGUGACCGGCCGCAUUGGGACAGAGAUACGGCCCAGACUCCUACGGGAGGCAGCAGUGGGGAAUAUUGCACAAUGGGCGGAAGCCUGAUGCAGCAACGCCGCGUGCGGGAUGACGGCCUUCGGGUUGUAAACCGCUUUCGCCUGUGACGAAGCGUGAGUGACGGUAAUGGGUAAAGAAGCACCGGCUAACUACGUGCCAGCAGCCGCGGUGAUACGUAGGGUGCGAGCGUUGUCCGGAUUUAUUGGGCGUAAAGGGCUCGUAGGUGGUUGAUCGCGUCGGAAGUGUAAUCUUGGGGCUUAACCCUGAGCGUGCUUUCGAUACGGGUUGACUUGAGGAAGGUAGGGGAGAAUGGAAUUCCUGGUGGAGCGGUGGAAUGCGCAGAUAUCAGGAGGAACACCAGUGGCGAAGGCGGUUCUCUGGGCCUUUCCUGACGCUGAGGGGCGAAAGCGUGGGGAGCGAACAGGCUUAGAUACCCUGGUAGUCCACGCUGUAAACGGUGGGUACUAGGUGUGGGGUCCAUUCCACGGGUUCCGUGCCGUAGCUAACGCUUUAAGUACCCCGCCUGGGGAGUACGGCCGCAAGGCUAAAACUCAAAGGAAUUGACGGGGCCCCGCACAAGCGGCGGAGCAUGCGGAUUAAUUCGAUGCAACGCGUAGAACCUUACCUGGGUUUGACAUGGAUCGGGAGUGCUCAGAGAUGGGUGUGCCUCUUUUGGGGUCGGUCCACAGGUGGUGCAUGGCUGUCGUCAGCUCGUGUCGUGAGAUGUUGGGUUAAGUCCCGCAACGAGCGCAACCCUUGUUCACUGUUGCCAGCACGUUAUGGUGGGGACUCAGUGGAGACCGCCGGGGUCAACUCGGAGGAAGGUGGGGAUGACGUCAAGUCAUCAUGCCCCUUAUGUCCAGGGCUUCACGCAUGCUACAAUGGCUGGUACAGAGAGUGGCGAGCCUGUGAGGGUGAGCGAAUCUCGGAAAGCCGGUCUCAGUUCGGAUUGGGGUCUGCAACUCGACCUCAUGAAGUCGGAGUCGCUAGUAAUCGCAGAUCAGCAACGCUGCGGUGAAUACGUUCCCGGG